rnacentral:rRNA from 1 species
UUUCUUUACGGGGACCUCAGAGCAGGUGAGGC